rnacentral:rRNA from 1 species
CCUGGCGGCCUUAGCGCGGUGGUCCCACCUGACCCCAUGCCGAACUCAGAAGUGAAACGCCGUAGCGCCGAUGGUAGUGUGGGGUCUCCCCAUGCGAGAGUAGGGAACGGCCCGUA